rnacentral:rRNA from 1 species
GAUGAACGCUGGCGGCGUGCCUAAUACAUGCAAGUCGAGCGAACGGACGAGAAGCUUGCUUCUCUGAUGUUAGCGGCGGACGGGUGAGUAACACGUGGAUAACCUACCUAUAAGACUGGGAUAACUUCGGGAAACCGGAGCUAAUACCGGAUAAUAUUUUGAACCGCAUGGUUCAAAAGUGAAAGACGGUCUUGCUGUCACUUAUAGAUGGAUCCGCGCUGCAUUAGCUAGUUGGUAAGGUAACGGCUUACCAAGGCAACGAUGCAUAGCCGACCUGAGAGGGUGAUCGGCCACACUGGAACUGAGACACGGUCCAGACUCCUACGGGAGGCAGCAAUAGGGAAUCUUCCGCAAUGGGCGAAAGCCUGACGGAGCAACGCCGCGUGAGUGAUGAAGGUCUUCGGAUCGUAAAACUCUGUUAUUUGGGAAGAACAUAUGUGUAAGUAACUGUGCACAUCUUGACGGUACCUAAUCAGAAAGCCACGGCUAACUACGUG